CCGGCAAUGGCGGCGGCUUAUGAGGCAACGAAGGCCUGGGGUAGUUGGGCAGGCUGGACAGGCCCAACAGCGGCGGCCGGAUUCUGCCGGAGCCGUGCUGACCCGGAAACGGGCUCCUGGAACAAAAGGAAAAUUAGAAGGUUGACUAGGUCUCGCAGAUUCACCGGAACCUCUGCUCGGUCAACUGAAAAACUGUUUCAAGGAAGAUUGGGGCUGUUGAUUUUCAAAGGGAUUAGAUCGAAGAGGUUUGAAACAACGACACACCGAAUAUACAACCCAAACGAUCUCUCUCGAAUCAAAAUCAGUUCAUCGAUCUUGCGACCAAUUUUAUCCUCGACUCACCUGGUGUGUCCUCCAUUGGGACCCGAAGUGUUCUUGAUGGUGACGUAGACCUCGGUCUUUGUCGUGAGUUGACCGUCGGAGACGGUUACAUAAAGGAACAGGUUCUGCCCUCCCUGGAAAGAAGAAGCAAGAAACAUCGUUCAAUUCUCGAAGCGACCGUAUGCAGCUCGUGUUACGUUCUUAUCGUCUUAAGCAAAGGAAGAAAAAAGAUGACACGUAAACGCGUACUUUGCCCUCGUCCAACGUACACGAGACUCGUUUAAAUGCAUCACAAUGAUGCGCAGUAUUUCGUAUCUGAUGCCAGUCCAGACGUAUAGAAUGUAAUAAAGAACGGUUAAUGGUAUAUGUAAUUCCAUUUGAAGAGAUAAACUUGACCUUUGAGUGAUCUCUGCUAUUUAAAUUCCUCGUUUUUUAAUUUUUUUAAAUUUCACUUAACGACAGAUAUUAUAAUUAAAUACUGUUAUAAGUAAAAAAUGAUAGAUAUUAUUAAAAAGUACGUUGAAAUAA